UAAAAAAAAUUAAAAAAGAUUCCUUAAGUAGUGGUGAGCGAAAAAGGAUUUGUGUCAAAUUAGUUUUUUGAAUAAGAAUGUUUUGGAAUAAACAACCUGAGAAAGUGAAAGUCUUGUAUUUUUUCUAAAACUAAUUUUGUAUUUAAGUAAGUUAAUUCAUGAUAUUUUAACUGAAAAUAGGAGAACCACCUUCUAACAUAAUAAUUAAAGAUUUAGACCGAUAGCGCACAAGUACUGUAAAGGAAAGGUGAAAAGUCUUUAAGAAAAGUGAAACAGAUCUUGAAAUUGAAAGCUUUAAAGCAGAUUUACUUUCUAGAAAGGUAAAUCGUACCUUUUGUAUAAUGGGUCAGCAAGUUUAUUUGGAUAGUAAGCUUAAGCUAAUAAGUGGAGGCGUAGUUAAUGCAAACCUUAAAUGGUUAUAAUUAUUCAAAUAAGACCCGAAACUGAGUGAUCUAAUUAUGAGCAGGUUGAAUGUCAUCUAAACAAUGACAGGAAGACCGAACCCGUAUCUGUUGCAUAAGAUUGGGAUGACUUGUGAUUAGGGGUGAAAGGCCAAUCAAACUCAGAGAUAGCUGGUUCUCUGCGAAAUUUAUUUAAGUAAAAAUGUAAACUUUAUUAUACUCGUAAAGGUAGAGCACUUAUUGGCUGAUGGGGGCUUGACGGCCUUACUGAUGUCAGUUAAACUCCGAAUUAAACCAAGUUUAUGUUUACGUGGCAAACUAUAGGUGAUAAGAUCUAUUAGUUUAAAGGGAAACAGCCCAGAUUACAAGCUAAGGCCUUUAAAUGAUGAUUUAGUGGUAAAAGUUUUUUUGCAUUAUGUCAGCCAGGAAGUGGGCCUAGAGGCAGCCAUCUUUUAAAGAAAGCGUAACAGCUCACUGGUCAAAAAUUUAGAUGCAAUUAACCUUAAAAUUCAAUUAGACUCAAAUCAUAGCUGCCGAAGCUGUAAAACAAAUAAUUUUGUUGGUAGCAGAGCUUCUUGUAUGAUAGUAUACCCUUGUUAAAGGUUCUUAAAAUCAAGUUUGAAAAUGCUGACAUGAGUAACCUAAUAUAAUUUAAAAAAAUUAUAACUGUAAAUUUAAGGUUUCCUACGGUCGGAUGAUUCUCGUAGGGUUAAUCGGCUCCUAAGAUUUAAUAUGAAAAUAUUAUUCGAUGGAAAGAAUAUUAAUAUUUAUUCAUCUGUUUUAUAAAAAGCGACGGAAAACUUACAUUGUUGAUUCUUCAAGUUUAUAGAUUUACUUAUUUAACUAAAGUUUUUCCUAGAAAAAGCUAAAACAGAAAGACCGUACCUUAAACCGACACUGGUAAAUUAGUAGAAAAUAUUAAAGUUUUGGGGGAAUAGUAUUGAAGGAACUCGGCAAAUUGACUUCGUAACUUCGGGAGAAGAAGGGCUUACUUUGAAAAAAAUAAGCAUAAAAAAAGAGGGGAUAGCGACUGUUUAUUAAAAACACAGGACUCUGCUAAAUCGUAAGAUGAUGUAUAGGGUCUGACACCUGCCCGGUGUUGAUAAAUGAAAGUCAAAAGUUUUAAAGCUUUUGAUAUAAGUUCCAGCAAACGGCGGCUGUAACCAUAACGGUCCUAAGGUAGCGAAAUUCCUUGUCAGGUAAGUUCUGACCUGCAUGAAUGGUGUAACGACUUUCCCACUGUCUCCAAUACUAACCUAGUGAAAGUGAAUUCUCUGUUAAGAUGCAGCGUAGCGACGGCUAGACGGAAAGACCCUGUGCACCUUUACUAUAUUUUUAUAUUGCUUUUGUAACAUCUUUGUAUAGGAUAAUUGUUAGCCGUUAUUAAAAACCCUUAGCGCCAGCUAAUUGGUAAGGCACCCUUGGAAUA
rnacentral:rRNA from 1 species